UAGGAGGCCUUAGACGAGGUAGCUCUCUUUAGCGGAGAGUAAUUUGCAGAGAGGGCUCACAUCUGAGAGCUAUCUGACAGCAGCACUUCCAGCAGCUAGGAGAAUAAUUCCUUCAUUUUAAAGGUCCGGGUAGGAAGAUUUAAAGCUCUGGGUAAGGUUGCACAAGACUGCAUCCACUAUAUUUUAUCCUUUGUGCCGCUUGGAUCCACUUGCUUCAUAAAAUUUCUGGGAACAGAUCCAUCAGGAUUCUGGUGGACCUCAUUUUCCAGAGGAAAUGUGUAAAAGGAAGUUUAGUGGGAUUAACUAUAGCCUCUCCCACUGAAGCCAGGCACUUGCUCACAACUGAUGCUCAUCAUCUCCAUCCUCCACUAUCCAUUCAAGAUUCCCCUCACCUUUGGCUAGGAGCUCAACUUGUUUAGGAGGUUUAUUUGGUGACAGAACAAAGAACCUCAUACCUGAAGUUCCUGAUACCCUGGUAAUCAUGCUAUGCUUUGCAUGCAGCUGCAACACUCAUUCUUUAACUGAGAUUGAAUUUGUCUGCUGGGGAACGUAGAAGCAAGUUUUGCAUCAUCUUGGAUAACAGACCAGAUUAUCUGCCGUGUUUUCUCAUUACUUUAUAAAGCAAGUACUGAUUGGGUGAAGAAGGAGUUGUCUCCUACCCUUUGCAAUUCCUGUAAUAUGCUCACUCUUUGGGAAAAUGAUCUUGGAACCAGUGACUCCCGAUGCCAUGUGUGAAUCAUAGCACUAGGAGAUGUGUUGCAUGCCUGUGAAUUAUACCCCAAGUGUGACAGACGAUGACUAUUUGGAGGAUGCCAAAUAGCAGUUGCCGUAGCAACAAUAACCAGGGGAUGCUUCUCCGAACUUCUGCCUCCUCUCUGCCCCAUCAUUUCCCCUGUUUUGAGAGUUAGAUAACGUGGUUACUGGAAUUAGUCGAAGCUGGUUCCCACCCCCAGCCCCCACCCAGCAUAAUGAAAGAGAGAAAACUUAGAAAUGUCUGCCUUCUUCUUACUAUCAGGGGAAAUUCAGCAUAUCUCUGCAGUCAAGACUGAAAGGAGGGAGACUCAGAGGGCAAAGAGCUGUGCGCUCUCAUACUAAUAAAUGCUCGGUGGUGGGAAAAUUAAUUGUCAGAACUGCUCCUGCAAACCACUUGUGAGGAAUGAAAAAAAUCAUUGUUGAAUUUCCACACGUGGGCUAAAAGAACAGUAUGUAAAUUGGAUUGCAAGAUGCUGUGUUCUGUGAGUGGAAAUUUCUGGUCUCUUCUGGAUCUGACAUGGCAGAUUUAAUUUUACUUUCUUAAAAAAAUAGGAGUGUAAUCUAGACAGGGAGAAGGAAAAUUUCUUUUAAUUACCUAUGACUUUAUUGAUAUGUACAGCCCCUUCCCCAAAUAAAUAUUCAGAUUAAAGCAGAGAAUGAAGUUUAAGGAAAAUUCUAUUUGCUAAGAGCGGAGUGGAUUUCUUCAAAGGAAAAGAAGCUUAAGCUUCAGGGCCCCUUCUAAGGCCCUGAAUCUAAAUUUGCAUUUGUAAAUAUAUUACAAUUCUUCUUUAAAAUCCACUCUCUGAUUAUAUACACUUUGAGCUCCACAAAUUCUCGAUCCACCUCUCAGGAGAAGGCAAAAUGUAAGUGAUUUAUUUGAUUGUAUGUUUUGCUAUUGCAUCACUCUUUAUGACAUUCAAAUUUCUCACCUUGUAGUUCUAUUUUGAGUA
rnacentral:lncRNA from 1 species